CAGCAGUCGCGGUUAGACUCUGGGCGAUUAACUUAAAUUUAUAGCAGGAGAAGGGGUAGACUCGAAUAAUCGCGGUAAAAUGCUCGUUGUAAGUGGGCCUUGAAAGUCUCUUAACUCGAGGUAGGCACAAGGAUUAGAUACCCUUUUAUUCUCGAUUUUUCGCGCUAUAGUAGUAGUUGGUAUAGCCUCGAAAUUUAAAGGGUUUGGCGGCGCUUUACCCUAUUAGAGGAACCUGCCCGGUAACCGUCACUACGCGAUACACCUUACUCGGCUUUAGCUUGUAUACCGCCGUCCAAUUAAGCUCGAAAGAGUUAAGUUAAAGAGGCUACUAGAACGUCAGGUCGAGGUGCAGCCUGGCUGAGGGGCGGCAGGUUACAGUGAGUAAAUUCGCGGAUUCCCUAUUUUAAGCAGGGUUAAAGGUGGAUUUAAUAGUUAGCGGAGGUUAGAAUACUCCGCUGAAUUGGCGCUAGGGCGUGCACAUAUCGCCCGUCACUCU
rnacentral:rRNA from 1 species